CAGUCGCCACGGGAAUACGAAGGGGGCUAGCGUUGCUCGGAAUUACUGGGCGUAAAGGGAGCGUAGGCGGAUCGUUAAGUUGGGGGUGGAAGCCCGGGGCUCAACCUCGGAACUGCCUUCAAUACUGGCGAUCUUGAGUAUGAGAGAGGUGUGUGGAACUCCGAGUGUAGAGGUGAAAUUCGUAGAUAUUCGGAAGAACACCAGUGGCGAAGGCGACACACUGGCUCAUUACUGACGCUGAGGCUCGAAAGCGUGGGGAGCAAACAGGAUUAGAUACCCGGGUGUCCCUGUCUCUUAUACA
rnacentral:rRNA from 1 species